GACAUCAGGUUGGGCAUAGCUAAGGUAGCUGCAUCUGGGCGUGGCAUUGCGAUGGAUUUAGCGCAAGGGAUGUUGCGCCUAGCCGCGAGUAUUGCAUUGCGUUGAGCUAGCAUCUUUUGUUUCUCCUUGGGUGGUAUGUUCUGCACACGUGCUCUUCGGCGGGCGUUUGUCUCUUGCUUCCCCUCGUUUGUCAUAUUUUGGUAUGCCACUCUUCUGCAGUAAUUCCUCUCUUGAUUCUCCUCGACCGGCAUAUUUUGGUAGGACGCGCUUCUGCAGCUGUUUCUCUCUUGCUUGUCCUCGACCAUCAUAUUUUGGUAGGCCGCCCUUCUAAGGGUGUUACUUUGUUGCUUCUCCUCUGGUGUCAUCCGUUGUGUGGCUUCUCUCUAACGGGCAUUCCUCUCCUUGUCUGUUUUCUUCUUCCUAGCUGCUCUGCGGUGUGCAUUGAUUUUCUACUUCUCUUCAGGUGUUAGUCUAUCCCGCCGUGCUCUGUAUUAUUCUCGCCUUUUCUGUUUUUUGUCAGAUGUAAUGAUUGCAUUUGAAGCAAUGUGUUCAGGACCAGUGUGUGAGGUGUUGAGUCCAACCGCUAUAUCUGAACCAAUAUUAUGCUCAAUGCUGCUUUGUGUUCCUUGAAGUGAUACACGGUGAUCAUAGUAAGUGGCUUCACGAGAGUGAUUUCCUGAAAAACCGUUUUGUGGACCACUUAGGUUAACAAAUGUAUAAAUGCAAGCUGAAAAAAUUUCAUGUGUAAGGUCGAUACCGGUUGACGUUUGCACAUGUUUUACUGGCUGAAAGGUUGUGAGAUUGCCGGCUAUGGGAACCAUCAUAGCCACAUGUGUGUGCACAUUGUCAUCAUCAUCGGAAGACGAAACACUGUAGUCAGUGGUGUCUGUUUGUUCUCGUAUGAAGAAACCAGAUGGUGGCCGGGGUGUAUUGGUGGGUUGUGAUCUUGGUGUCCUCUCAUAAUCAACAACUGAUAAAAUUAAGCUAGGCUAAGUUCUGAAAGCUUAUUGAAGACCUUAUGUUGAGACAUGACAACUCAGCUGAGAACUUUAAAAGAGCAAACAAGGUUCUGGCUUCGGAUUCUGAGCCGGUUCACAUAUGGAAUUUCUCUGGGCGAACAACCUUCAUAUUGAUGAAUGAAUGGAACCGUAUGCCCCAAGAUCCUCAGCCUUCUGACCAGGAGGUCAUAUCUUCUCAAUCAAAUUUGCCAUUAUAUUGCCUAUGCUUAAUUUCUUGCAUAAGAUUGUUAUAAAUUAGUUGUACAGUUGUGUUGGUCAUAGUCUUUUAUCUCCUAGCUACUUCUUAAGGCUUUUCUACUGCAUUACUACUAAUUAGCCAAAUUAAUCCCCAUUACUGUUAUUUCCUCCUGCAACAUCGUAAUUUUAUUUGAAUGCGGAGCACUGGAAUGCUAUAUUGCUGGUUUUUUGAGUAAAUAUUCACUGUCCUAAUGAAAAAUUUCUACUUUAGUGACUUGAAUUUUCAAGUGCACAUGGGUAGCAAGUAACUAAUAGUUGGCUAGCCAAUGCAUGCCGUUCUUUCCUCCACCAAGGGUGAGGCAUGCCAGUUGUUAAUUUGUUUGUUAAUUGUCAGCAUCAACUGGUCUUCGUACUAAUAGCACAAAUUGAGCUUUUGGAUGUACAUCACUCUGUUGCUAGCUAUCUGCAUUUUUUCUGAUUGUUCCACCUUUGUAGAUGAAAACACUGAGUUUACAACUUAUGCAACUACUGUCAGACUCCAGAUCCUUGAUGGUUUUGCCUUCCUCUGCAAUAUGGAUUACCCUGGUAUGGAAGGGAGAACACCCUGUUACUGUCACACCAUGGUGAGGAUGGUGGCAGGAGGAUGGUGACAGGAGGAUGUACCUGCGGCCUGAGGAGAUGGGUGCAGGAACAGCCAGCGCGCGGAGGUGGCUGGUUCCGACGGCCCUGGUGAGCAACACCAUGAGGCGGGAGCAGAGGCUGCACCAUGAGAAGAGAGCAGAGGUUGCUGGUUCCGGUGGCAGCAGAGGCUGCAGCUCACACACCUGUCGUGAGAACGACGUGGCCGGACUGGUUCCGUUCCGGCGGAUGUGGCCGGAGGGCGAGUAUGGGUCCAGCGAGAGGAAAACUGGCGUUCCUGGCGACGAACUGACGUUCUUGGCGACGUGCGAUCACGGCUCGAUGGAGCUGUCGCACUUGUUUCUUUGUUUGGUUUUGGCUCGGACGCGUCUUUUUUUGGUUUGGCAUGGACGUGGUUUGUUUUUUGGUCAAUGCAUGGAGUGAAUGUCGUUCGUGGAUUGA